UGGGCGGGGCUUAGCAAUAGGCACCGAUCUCACAGUGGAGGCUGAUGGGAGGCUGAUGGAAGCCCACGACUUGGCCUGCAGGUGGCGUCUUCUGUGUGUCCCAUUGUUUGCCCGUCGCGAGAUUAUCCUUGGAGAUCUUCUCGGAGCAUUUAGGGGACCGGCCAUGGGGACGGUGCUGGGCAGGAGCUGCCUGGAGGCUAAGAGCUACGUUUACGUGGAUCCCCCUGAAGCGUUUCUCUGUCCCCUCUCCUUACGGCCUAUCUGUCACAGUUACAGAGUCACGCGUCCACACCGUCUAAGGGCCCGCGCUCCCCUCCCUGAACACCAGGGGCACAACUUCUGACAGACUGUCGUGAUGUUUGCCUCCAGGAGCCCAGGCAGCCUCCCCAGUCAUCCUUGCUGCCAUUUGCUCCUUUGAGGGACACUCAGGGGUCGCUCCCUCCCACCACACCCCGUCCCAAGGGUCUGCCAGUGACUGGCUGAGCUCCAGGCCAGUGCUUGUGCCUCAGUGUUUGUGUGGCUGAUGUUUACAUGACUGUGAUUCUGUAAAGGCUCCUGGGGCCGCCUCCUGGGACAAUGCGGUAACCACGCCCUUGCUUCCUGUCCUCCCCGCCUCUGCUCAUCACCUUCUUUUUCUUGCUCUGUUUUCUAUGUAUGUACUCUUCUUCCGGGCCCAAACUCCCCCUCCAUAGGGCAAACACCCCAGAGAUUCCGUCCAUGUCGUCUUCCUGAGUCUGACUGUCCCAUCUGCCAGGUGGGGGGCUCCAGGAGUUGUAGGAGCAGGACCGGCGGGGAAGCUGGGAUCUGAGUCAGGUUGUCACUGCGCUGCACUGGCUGCUGCUGCGCUGGGAACAGUCGGAGGCUGGGAAGUGUGAGCAGGGAGACCAAGAGGAGCCUCUUCAGUAACCCCAGAGUGAAACAAGGGUUUCCCAGGGCCCCCAGGGGUGUUGUGGUGGAGAUGGUGGGAGGCGGCUGGUUUCUGAAGGGCUCUGAAGAAGCCAGCACGACCGGGCGAGGCAGGCAAGCAGGGGAACACGCGUGGCCCGCGUGGCCGGGCACCAGGAAUGACGCGGAGAGGGGGCGGCCUCGGGACAACUGUUCAGGGCCGGCUUUCAGUCAGCCCGGGCCGCCGUGCACAUGUAUCCCCGCGGACGGGCGCAGCGUUUAAACAGCAGACUUCCAUUUCUCGGUGUUCUGGAGGCUGCAGGUCCAAGAUCGGGGGGCCGGCGGCCUCGGUGCGUGGUGAGGCUGCGUCCUCACAGACGGCCGAUUGCCCCACCCCAGGUGGAUCAAGUCGGAUGUCAUCUGCAAUGCUGCCCCACAUGGCGCUGUCCGUCCGGUGCCGGGUCUGCGCCGUGGCCUCCUGCCCGCCUGCUCUCUGGAGACCUAGAGGGAGUGGCCUCCUGCACACAGGCCCAGAAGCCCUCUCUGACAGGGGCGCCCCGGUGUUCAGCCGUGCCUUGGCCUUUGGGGCCAGAACCGCCCUCGUCGACCAGCACGGCCACCACACAUACGUGGACCUUUACUCCCGCAGUGUCCGCCUGUCCCGGGAGAUCUGCAGGCUCCGCGAGUGCACAGGCGGGGACCUGUGGGGGGAGAGGGUCUCCUUCAUGUGCUCCAAUGACGUGUCCUACGUGGUGGCCCAGUGGGCCUCAUGGAUGAGUGGCGGCAUCGCUGUCCCUCUGUACAGGAAGCUCCCGCAGGCCCAGCUGGAGUAUUUCAUCCGGGACUCCCAGAGCUCCGUGGUCCUGGCCGGCCAGGAGUACGUGGAGCUCCUGAGCCCAGUGGUCGGGAAGCUGGGGGUCCCACUCCUGCCUCUCCCGCCCACAGUCUACAGCGGGGCAGCGGAAGAGCACAAGGAUGGGGAGGUGCUAGAGCGGGACUGGAGAGACCGGGGCGCCAUGAUUGUCUACACCAGCGGGACCACGGGGCAGCCCAAGGGCGUGCUGAGCACCCAUCCCAACAUCCAGGCCAUGGUGAAGGGGCUGGUCCACAAGUGGGCGUGGACCAAAGACGAUGUGAUCCUGCACGUCCUCCCGCUGCACCACAUCCAUGGCGUGGUCAACAAGCUGCUCUGCCCGCUCUGGGUGGGAGCCACCUGUGUGAUGCUGCCCGAGUUCAGCGCUCAGCAGGUUUGGGAAAAGUUCUUAAGUCUUGAAACCCCACGGAUUAAUAUAUUUAUGGCCGUGCCCACGAUAUACAGCAAGCUGUUGGACCACUAUAACAAACACUUCACCCAGCCUCACGUCCGGGAUUUUAUACGUGCAGUUUGUGAAGAAAAAAUUAGGUUGAUGGUUUCCGGAUCGGCCGCCCUGCCCCUGCCUGUGCUGGAGGCCUGGAGGAACGUCACAGGCCACACCCUGCUGGAGAGGUACGGGAUGACGGAGAUCGGCAUGGCCCUGUCCAACCCCCUGACCACGGCUCGCUUGCCAGGGUCUGUAGGGACCCCACUGCCAGGCAUCGAGGUGCGCAUUGUCUCAGAAAACCUGAAGAAGGAGGGCUGCCCCUACAUCCUCCACGCAGAAGGGAAUGAGAAGGAGACCAAGGUGACACAGCUGUGUUCAAGGAUGGCAGUUACUGGAUCCGGGGCCGCACGUCGGUGGAUAUCAUCAAGAGCGGCGGCUACAAGGUCAGCGCCCCGGAGGUGGAGCGGCUGCUGCUGGCCCACCCCAGCAUCGCAGAUGUGGCUGUGGUCGGUGUUCCAGACUUGACAUGGGGCCAGCGGGUUACUGCGGUCGUGGCCCUUCAAGAGGGACACUCACUGUCCCACCAGGAGCUCAAAGCAUGGGCACGUUGAUCGUUGAGAUGAUGUGUGUGUCGGGGCUCCACCCUGCAGCGUGGCCGGGUCCCCUGGGUCUCCUGUGGGCCGUCAGCGCCGGCCCCAUGCGUCUCCUCCUGCCCUGCUCAGCCUUCUGCUUCCCGUCCCCUCUUCCUCUUGGUGCUUCGCUGAACCUCCAGGCAGACGACAGCCAGGGGGAAGGCGGCGGCUGCCUGUCCUCUCAGGCAGCGGGAUGGCUCCAGAGCUGCUGCCCAGAUCCCCAGGGGAGCACAGGCGAACAGGCCAGCUUCGGACCAGCUCGUGUCACUGCCUCCGGUUGUUAAGAUGUUCUGUGAAUGAGUGCUAAAUUGUACUGAAGUUUUUCUUUUCUUUUAAAUCGACCGUCCUUUCCAUCCUGAAUCCGUUACUAUGCAGUACUGACGGUUUUCUGAUGUCACCACACACUCAUGACCCGGCAUGAACCCUGCAUGGUCAAUGUGGCCGGGAAGGGGGUGCUGAAUCAUUCUCCAUUUAAUGUGAUUACUGAUCCAGCACAUGGGUUUUACCUACAAUUCCAAAACCCAGAAAGCUGUGGAAACCAAAGCUGUUUGUUUUGUGUUUUGUAUUUGAUGUUUGUGGUAAACUCAUUCGGCAGAGGCUGUGGACUAAGUAUCUAUGUCCCCACCAAAAUGCCAUGUGGAGAUUUACCCCCGAUGUGACGGUGCUGGGAGGCGAUCGGGUCGUGAGCAGAGCCCCCGUGAGCAGGGCUCCCGCCUCAUCAGAGCUGCCGGGGCUCCCUCGCCCCUUCUCCAACGUGAGAGCACAAAGCGACGCUGCCUGUAAGCCAGGAGCCCCCACCACACGCCCAACGCGCUGGGGCCUGUGUCUCCGGCCCCCCGCCCCAGAGCUGUGAGCAGCCAGUGUUGUCGUUUAUAAGCCCCAUGGUGUUUUGCCAAGGCAGCCUGGACAGACUGAGGCAGCAGACAGACGGACAUGAGCCUGAGGAGGACUUCUGGACCCCACUUCAUGUGAGGGUCCCGGGUGCCACCCAGAUCCUGAGGCCAUAACACAUUGCACCGCAAACGUGCCUUCAAACAGCUGAAAAAUUCUGGAUUCCAGUCUGCCUCUCGCCCAGGGCCCGGGGUGUGGGGCCCAGGCCAGCAUUUCAUUUAGGAUCCUGAAGGCUGGUGACACCAUCCCCCGAGGCCUCAGGGCUUGCCGGGUGGAGGUGCCUCUGACCACCGAUCCCAUCUCUUCUUUAAUGGUUCCUGCUCUACUCGAGACUCACUCCUUGGUGGUGCCCCGGCUCCUGUGGCUCCGUGAAACCAUGGGUUUCACCCAGGCUGCGGAUUUCUUGGCAUGUAGCUGCUCCCAGCCCUACCAUGUGACUUCCCGUCUUGGCGCUGGGCUCACAUCCGUCUGCUGGAGCGCCUGCUGAACCGCUGGCUCAUCCCUGCUGUGCCCGCCUUUCCCUCUCCUGCCCUCCCAGGUUCACACUGGUGCCCUUUCUCUGGCGCCUUCCAUGGGACCCCCCUCACUGGCUGUCCCCAAGUCCUCGGGGCCACCUGAGCGUCACUGGGGCCUUGCCACGCGGCCCCCCACUGCCCCUCGGUCGGUCUCACUGUGCCUUGGCCUCUUGCCCAGUAGUGAUCUGGGGGCACAUUUCCCUUCACCGUCCUCCUGCUGCCACCCACCCAGUCACCAAGACGCCGCCCUGCAACUUCAGUUCUUUGAGAUCCAAGGCUCUUUGGGUGCCCCGGGCAGCCCCGUCUCAGAGUCAGGAUGGGGUUGGGGGUGAUGGGAAAGGAUCUGUGAGUAAACUGGCCACUGAGGUAUCUCAGCGCCUCUGGGCCCCGGAGCUCGGCCUGCCCGGCCUCGGAACCCACGUCACUGCCAGCAGCGCCGGCCGCCUUCCCGGCGCAGGUUGGCGCCCUGUGCUCAGGCUCACAGCUGUUCCGUGGGUCUGAUGGGCUGUUGUUUAGCAUCUCUACCCCGUUCACGUUUGUCCCUCGGGCUUCAUUUUGCCCGGGAUUAAUACUGAGAUUAAUCCUGCACUCCCAGCUCCCGGGGGUCCCAGCGUCCGUCUCUGUGAGCAUGCCACGCGGGCUGAGCUCACGGCCACGCAGUGCGUGGACCCGGCAGCCAGGGCGAACCUGCCCCAUCCCAGCCGGGCAUGCUUCCUUAGAGGUUUUCAGUUUGGUUGUAGACACAAGAAGUAAUAAAUAGGCUUUGUUUUUAUG